rnacentral:siRNA from 1 species
AGCAAUGGUGGUAUCUAUUGUGAG